GAUGAACGCUGACAGAAUGCUUAACACAUGCAAGUCGAUGGGGAAGUGGUGCUUGCACCAUGGUAACCAUGGCGGACGGGUGAGUAACGCGUAAGGAACUUACCUGCGGGACCGGGAUAACAGCAGGAAACUGCUGACAAGACCGGAUAAGGUCAUUAAGCUGCAUAGCUUAGUGAUGAAAGGAGACGCCUGCGGAGAGCCUUGCGUCCUAUUAGCUAGUUGGAGGGGUAACGGCCCACCAAGGCGAAGAUAGGUAGCCGGCCUGAGAGGGUGGACGGCCACAAGGGGACUGAGAUGCGGCCCUUACUCCUACGGGAGGCAGCAGUGGGGAAUAUUGGACAAUGGGGGCAACCCUGAUCCAGCAAUUCUGUGUGCACGAAGACGGUUUUCGGAUUGUAAAGUGCUUUCAGCAGGGAAGAAGGAAGUGACGGUACCUGCAGAAGAAGCGACGGCUAAAUACGUG
rnacentral:rRNA from 1 species